AAUGGGGGAAACCCUGAUGCAGCGACGCCGCGUGAGUGAUGAAGGCCUUCGGGUCGUAAAGCUCUGUUGUACGGGGCGAAAAGCGACGUGCUAAUACCACGGCGUUUUGACAGUACCGUAUAAGAAAGGACCGGCUAACUUCGUGCCAGCAGCCGCGGUAAGACGAGGGGUCCUAGCGUUGUUCGGAAUUACUGGGCGUAAAGCGUGUGUAGGUGGCUUUGAAAGUCGGGUGUGAAAUCCCAUGGCUCAACCAUGGAACUGCAUUUGAAACUGCAAAGCUUGAAUGUCAGAGAGGUGGGCAGAAUUCCUGGUGUAGUGGUGAAAUACGUAGAUAUCAGGAGGAACUCCGGUGGCGAAGGCGGCUCACUGGCUGAACAUUGACACUGAGACAUGAAAGCGUGGGGAUCAAA
rnacentral:rRNA from 1 species